CUAGACUCUGCUUCUGAAACCUUUGACCUUUUCUUCUCUGGGAAACCCCACAGAGUCUAGUGAGGGUGACUUCCAGAAAGACAAUAUAUAUAUUCUUGGAUUCUGUGACAAUGAGCAGUGAAACAAAUGAGUGUCCAGAUGCUGGCUACCAGUGAGCCUUCCCUACACAAGGUAGCUUAGCUCUUUUCUACUUCCCUUGCUGAGACCUCCUGUCCAUGGUUCACGGAAUGAAUGACACGUGCACAUAGAUUGGCUUUGGAUUUAACUGUGGCAACCAGUUGACAGCAUGUACUUCAGUCACGAGGCAGUGGUGCAUAGACUCCUGAGCUAGAGGAGCCAGUGCAAGAUUGUCCUUCUCCCUAUUCUCUUCUCCCUCUCAUGUGCCCUCUCUCUUUUCCAGAUUCAGAAGACAGAGAAAAGAGAAGGAGGAGCACUAUGGCAAGAGUCCAAAGGUGGGUCACCUUUGGACCACAAGUGUGUGUUCACAGUUCUUUCUAGCAGCAUUUCUGAUUUCUCUGUGCAAUGUAUUGAUAUGGCUACAGAUGGAUAGUCCAAGCCAGAUUUGGGUCUUGGAUUACUGUUAUUUUUUUCUUCUUUUGGAAGAAAAAAACUUAGUUUGGGGAAGACAUUAUAAAAUGAAAACUGGGCUUGGUGACAGGCCUUUAGUCCCAGCUACUCUGGAGGCUGAGUCAAGAGGAUCACUUGAGCCCAGGAGUUGAGGUUAGCCUGGGAAACAUAGCAAGACCCUAUCUCAAAAUAAUAACAACAAGCAAAUUUUAAAAACAAAAAGAGCAAUUACCCUGAUUCUUAGAACCACUUUCCUAUUAGGUUGACCCAUAUGAAUUUUUUGUUGUUGUUGUUCAAAAACAUUUAAGUAUUGAUUGUUUCAUGUAGUUCAACCUAGUACAUUUCCAUUACUCUGGGAAGGUGCCCAUUUUAAGGGGUCCCUGAGAUUUUAAUCAUUUGUGUUCAUCUUCAUCCUUCAAUACCAUUCUCUGAAUUAUUUUAACAGUAGAAGGAAUCGUGGCAACCCCAGCAAGGGUCCACAUUGCCCCAACUUCAUGACAUGUCAUCUUAUGACACAAGACAAUUAAGAUGAUGUUUGAGUACCCUUUUUUUCAUUAUUUAAAAAAAAAAAAUCUGGCUAGCUCAGCCAACCUUACCCUGACUAAGGACUGAGACCAGUUCCAAACUUUUUUUGUCUUGGAGGUAUUUGCUUCCAUCUGGCAUUCUUCCUGAAUGGGAUAUUACUUCACCUCCUACACCAGCAGCCAUCCUGGGGAUGGUGUGCUGCCAUGUGGUGCUGUAAGGGGAGGAAGUUGCUGGAGUGUUGGCAACAGCCACACCAUAAUCUUUUAACCACCUCAGGGUGACUAUUAGGUUGACCCAUAUGAAAUUUCUGCCCAGUGUGGGGAAGCCAGCAGUAUGAGCCUUAUACUGAUUGCACUUGUAGUCCCACAUUCAUUACACUAUCAUCAGUCUAUAUGUCUGGGACUGCUAGUGUGUGUGUGUGUGUGUGUGUGUGAGAGAGAGAGAGAGAGAGCGCAUAAGGCUGUGAGUAUCUCUUUAUGGCAGCUCAGUUAAACAAGGAGCUGGAGAGUUGUGUUGGUAAUAAGCAAGACAUUUCAAAGCCCCAACUCUCCCCCUUGGAAGGCCAUCAUGAUGUGUUUGCCUUUCCCGGGGAAGGGGGCCAUACAUAUACAUAUAUGUAUAUGUAUGGGGGUUUUGCCAUGCUUCUCAUUAUAUGGGGCUGCAUUCAAGUGGCUGGCCAGGUGUAUGAGAAGCUGCCUGACUGGGUGAGCCCCAUCUGCCGUGAGCUUACAGACUUGCCUUCCUGCCUGCCUUUCGUCCAUGGGGAGCCUGUCCCUUCGCAGCUCACGUCUCCUUUCUAAUUUAUUAGCUGGGAAGGAGGAGAAAAUGAAACGUUGCCUGAAGACAAUGGCCUAGACAGCAGGUCCCACCCUGCACAGCCGCCAACACCUCUCCCCCUAACCCUGUCUCCUCCUCUGCAGUUGGGUCUGCGCUUUAUUCUGCUAAGCCUGAAAUAAGAAAAAAAAAAAAAAAAGAAUUUCAAAGUAUUCUAUAAAAACUAUUCCAGCCCUUGGACAUGCAGAGGUAGCUGUAGACUGUUGAAGAUAGGAGAGGCCAAUAGGACAAAGAUUUGAGCCAGAGUUUGUAUCAAAUGGCCAAUAAAUAUGAGUUCCCUCAUGGACUCUGGGCCCCCCAUCUCUGAGUCCCAGGACUUCUCCUCAGCUCCCAGUCAGGCAGGGGAGGGGAAGGGGGCCCAAGGCAGCUGCAGGGGCUGUGUUAGUAAACACUUUCCUGGGUUCCCAUUUUCUUCACCCCCCCCACCCUUCUCCACUCCCUGAUGCCCCUUACACAAUCCCACCCCCCAGCAUCCCCCUUUCUGUGGUCUGCACAAUGAGCUCAUUGUCCUGGGUGUGAUUUGAAUAAGGGAUCUGCGGGCCUGUUCCCAGCAUUGUCCAAGGGGCUGGGAAAAACCCCAGCGCAGGCAGGAGGACCAGACCAGACAGAGACAGAUGCCUAAAUUAGCAACAAAGCUUUGUGCAGGUCCCCCGGACAAGGGCUUGCCUUGUUUGCGUGGACUCGAGGGUGUGGAGCUGGCCGGCUGCUCACAUGUCUCCCCAUGUUAAUUAGUUUUGCAUGCAUGUCUGAGAAGGUGCCAGGGGAGAUGUGUUUGCCUUUCCCGGGGAGGGGGCCCUGUUUGUAGCUGGCCAGCAGGCUGGGGGCUGUGGAGCUGAGCAGAGCUGGGCCUACCUGGGGAGCCAGACUCUGAGAUUGGUUUGAGAAUCUCAGAUCCCCCAUCUUCUUGCUCUGUUUUUCUGCCCUUGGGGUAGGGGCCGACUUUAUUCCCUGAGCCCCCUCCCAUCCUACCCCUGCACAUCUGAAAGUUGGUCAGCUCUGACUAUAGGGAACUCACUGGCUUCCACCCAGACCCUGGCCAGUGCCUAUCCAUCUGGCGGUCUGUCUCUCGCGACACAGGGCCCCUUGGGACAGGACAGCAGAAGCGGCCAGUCUGGGCUCUCCUCUGUACCCGAGCCAGAUGGCCAGUCUGCUUAUCGCAUUAUGACCUCCCAUGUCCCCAGACCCAUGCCACCCGUGGUGGGCCAGGAUCUUGUUUGGGAUUGUUUGGGAUAUGAUGGAGAAGCUUCCCUUUAAGCUUUUGGAGAGGUCUGGCCUGAAAGGAAAGGGGUCUGGUACAGAGGGCACAAGGUGUGGCCUUACCACUCUGUGACCUCAGGCAGGCCACAUCCCCAAACCUCUGAAUCUCGGUUUUUCCAUUGGUGAGAUGAUUGAGUUGAACUUCAGGAAUCUCUUGGUUCCCUCCUGGCCCAAAAAGUCUGUGAUGAUGGUGAUUCUUUCAAACCUGUGUUUGAUUUAGCGCUCUCUGAUUUACAUGGUGAAGGAGGGACAGUGAAUUCUGGCUAGAGGUGAUAGUGAGUAUUGCGGGAAGGAUUUCAUUCCUCUAGUGUAGGCCUGUGUUUUCAGAGUAGAUGGAGGAUCAGGAGCAGACAAGGCUUAUCUUCAGGUUCUUACAAACCCUCCUCUGCAGCAUGAGCCCUUCUUGUCCUGCCUUUAUGCUACAGUGGUGAGAAACAAGCUCUUGCCCAGCUGAAGGGAGCUGAAGGCAGUGGCCACACAGGAGAAGCUAAAGGGAGAGCAGCUGCUGGCCAGGGCCCUGGAUGUGUCCCAGUCGCCCCCUGCAGGCCCUGGGAUAGGGGACAGGGAUGCUUGCCAAAGCUGAGCUGAGCCAGACCUCCCAGACAACUUCCCGGCUAUUGCAUUCAGAGUCUCUCUACCUCUACAGCCCCUUACAGUAACUCAGGGAGUGAGGGGCAGGGGUGGAACAUUGUUCUUCUUGUUCAGGUGCAAGGACUCAGGAUUCAGUGGCCAGGGCAUUUGAUUCCUAACUCUUUGCUGGUCUUUCCCUGCUACUCAGCCCUGCUGGCCUUGCCCUCUUGUUCACACAGCCUCUAGAUUAAUUGGAAGCCUAAGCCUAGGAUUACUUACAGUCCAAAAUGUUGUAUGCCAAAGCUUCCAGUCCUUUUGUUGUUGUUGUUGUUGUUGUUGUUGUUAAUGGGAAUUGAACCUAAGGAGCUUUACUACUGAGCUUCAUCCCAGGGUAACUCCUACAGAAAGAAGGGAACUUAAUUUAUUCUCUGUGUGUGCUAUAUUUAUUUUAUAAUACUAGGGAACCCAGAGGCUUGUACAUGUGAGGCAAGCAUCUACUACUGAGCUACAUUCUCCCUGCUUUAUUUUAGUAUAGGAUCUCACUAAGUUGCCCAAACUAGCCUCAAACUUGUGAUCCUCCUGUUCAUAGCUGGGAUUACAGGUGUGUGCCACCAUGCCUGGCUACUAUAUAUGUGUUUUAAAUGAGUUAAAGUGCCUCUGGUUCUGAAAAUUUUGGGAUCUUAGAGAAAAGCUUCAAAAGCUGGGUUUUCUCUCCUGUCCCUUUGUCAACCUCCCCCAUCUCUGGUCUUCUCUUCCCUACCUUCUCAGAUGUGGUGGGAUAUACUUUGCUCUAGAGCCAGCAGCUGGCUAGAGGAACCCACAGGAAGUUCCAACAUUAACUGUAGGUAGUCACUGGGCCAGCAGGGGAGGCAGGCCCCAGGACUUCUCUGUGGUGGGUAGUACCCUCCCCUCAUUGCUUCAUCCAGUUGUCCACAAGCAGCACAUUCACUCCUCUCAACCUGGCCAUCUCUCCCCUCUCUGCCUCUCCCCAUCUUUCUUCUUUGGGUUCUGGGGGCCUCUUUCUUUGCCCUAUUACCUCUCUCCCUGGGUUGCUCCUCACUCAAGCUGGGUAUCUGGCAAUGAAGUCUAAAGCUUGAUGAAGAGCAGAGAGGUUAGAUAUAAUGAGAGAAAUGACCACAGUAGGGGUGGGGGAGAAGAGGCAGGGCCUUAGGGGAUCUGUCUCCUGUCCUCCCUGCCCCCAACCAAGGUCUUAGCUGCCUCAGCUGUAGCUCUGAGCUCCUUAAUCUGAUGAUCAGUGCGGUGCUGGGGGGCGGGCUGGCAGAGGCUUUAGGAGGUAACAGGGGAUCUUAGGAGUCGCACUCUGCUAACAGAGCGUCACUGAGUAUCACACAAAGCCUGGGAAUCACAUUCCAAGCGCGGCUCCCCCUUCCAGAAGCAGCAGCCCCAGCUGGGCUAGACCCAGCAUGGGUGGUGCCUGGUCGAGGGCUGGGACUCAGGCCCUGCUUGCAGUUGGGCGUCACCUUGCUCUUUGUUCUUCAGGAGGAAAGUUUCCAAGAUUAAGGCUUUCCAGCCCUUUCUGCAUGGCUGAGGUUUUAUUGUUUGGUAGCUGCCCCCAACCUUACCCAAGUGCUCAAAUCCACUGGCUACCAAUCCCAGCUAGAAGUCAUUUGUACAUUGCAGGUAUUCAUUCCCCAGGUCAGCUAGAAAAAUGCUGUCAAGGUGAUCAGGGGAUGGAGAUUUGUUCUAGAACUAAGUGAGACUGCUGUAUAGUAUGCCUUCCUUAUCAGAUGGAGCUAUCCUUAGAGAACCCAAGGAGUUCCAAAAUUGAGGCUAGGAUGCCGAAUGAAAGCCCACAUGAUUCUAAGACUUAUCCCAGCAAGAUGAUGGUAGCUCAGGCCCAAAACUUUGGCUGGGGAGGAAGAGGUGCUGUGGGCAGGGCCCAACCCAGAAUUACUGUGCAGUAGAUGUCUCAGAGCCUCUAUACCCUCAUCUGAAAAAUGGGAAUUGUUUUUACCUAUGGAGUUGCUGUGAGGAGUGUCAGAUACAUGGAUACCACUAAAUAGGGUUAAUAUUACUUCACUCUUUCCCUGAGGUAUAGGGCAGAUAUGAAGGAGGUGAAUUUCUCAAGGUCAUUUAGUAUAUCUGUGGUUUGGGGGUAGGGUGGGGACAGUAGUUAUAUUCAGAAUAUUUAAUCUCUGGUACAGCCUGGGCACCAACUAGUCAGAAUGGCAGCUGGUCCAAACCAUCAGCUCAGAGAGGAGGGCACAGCUGGGCUGAAAUAAGUUCAUUUGUCUUUUUGUCUUUCUGCUCCAUCAUGUGUCUGUUCAUCAGCAAGUAUACAGACAUCCCUGGAGGGCCGUUCCUGACCAGGUCACAGAAUGUGGGAUCCAGGGAUCUCCUCUGCAUUCUGAGCAGGUCAGACCUUCCUGGCAUGGGAUACCCUGCCUGACUUGGCAGAGGGCAGUGAACCAAGGUCCUUCCCAGCUCCAGGCUCCAUGAUGGCUGCAGAGCUGCCACCAGUUUCUGUGGGGGUAAGUUUUUUUCUGGAGCUCUUGCCUCCUCAUGUCUUUUCUUAAAAACAUUGUGGGUCGGGAUUCAGAGUGCAUCUGGAUCACUUCCCCAUGCCUGUUUCUUCCUUAGCCAAGGGAGGUCAGUGGUUUCUGUGUCUGGCUGCAGAGUGUGAGCAUGUGAUAUUAGGGGUAGUGUACAGCCCUCUUUUGUCACUGAAGAAAUCUUUUGACCUCAGGCAGCAUCUGCCCCAACCCCAGGCCACCCCUAGAUAUGUGUACUUUGCCAACAGUAGCUGCUUCUACCUGGUCUUUCUCUUUGCCUUAUGGGGUAAAAUCUCUGCCUUUGAGGGCCUAAGGUGGGCGAGUAAGGAAACAAGAGCAUAGAAAGACAUUGCCCCAUGUGGCUGGAAGUCAGAGACUUGAGCUCCGGCCCACCUUCCUACUGAGUGGUCUUGGGCAAGCUACCUCUCUUUCUGAACCUGGAAAAGGAACAUUGGGUAAGAUGGUAUCUGAGGUCCUUGAACUGCUGCAUAUUAUAAUUUGGAGUUUUUCCUAGGUUUCCUACUUUGUUACAUGCCAGUAACCCUCCCGUCGUGGCCCUGCCCAGCUCACAGGGAACUCAGCCUGCAUUAUCUCCUUCAAGUUACACUGGGAUGGAGGAGGCACCUUUACCCAGAGGCUACAAAAAUGAAAGCCCACCUCACUGCUGGCAAGUGCCAUGAGACUAACAUGUGAUCUGCCUUGAAACAAGGCUUUGGCCAGAAAGCAUGUCUCAGCUAGGUGUGUUCUCAUUCUCAGCCUCAAAUUGGGAUGUCUUUGCCUUCUCUCCUGGUUCUACAUGCUUUGAAUAGUGUUUGCCGAAGUGACCCUCCAGGUAUGUUUGCAUUAUCCUUGGGACUUUCCCUGGGUCAGGGCCUUCAGACUCAGAAGCCCCAAACCUUGUGAAGUAAUCUGUAGGGACAAUACUACUUUUUGGUCCCCAGUAUCCCCAGCCAGAUGGCUUUGCCACCAGUACAGCUCAGUGUCCUCAUGGAGUAAGGUGGAUGUGGGCUCAGGAUUCCUGGAUACUGGGGUGACCCUAGGCCAGGAAUUCAACCUCUGUAAGACUCUGUUUCCUUAGUUCUAAAAAAGAUAAUCACAUCUUUCUCAUAAAGUUGCAGCAAGACAGAACUAACACAGAGAAAGUACCUUGAAAUGACAGGAUUGUUCUCCCUUAUCUCCUAAGCCUAACUGAAUUCAGAGGUCACACACACAAGCCCAGGACUUUUCUGACCUCCUCCUGCCUUCCAUCUUCAGGACUGCUCUGCUGGGGAGGUCCUGAAACGACCCUGGAAGAACUCCUCCCCUGCCCACCACCCUCCUUCCCCAGGGAGCAGAAAUACCUAGUUUCAGCCCUAAUAAUACCUGAAUGAGAUUUAUAGGACACCUUCGUCCCCAGAGUUCUCACAUACUAUUUCUCUUAUCUUUAGAUUGUCCUGUGAAGUAAAGUGAUGGUACAGCCUCUUUUCAGUUUUUAUGGAAAUGGAAACAGAGAGGAAUGGUGACUCUUGCCAAGGUCGCAGGAUUGGAAUAUGGAGCCAAACUGCCUCAGGUCAUAGAAGAUCAUCAGAAGGAGAAAAUCUGAGCAGGAAGAGAAGAGUCAGCUACCUCCUGAGGCUGUAAAAGUUGGAGGCAAGAAUGGAGGAAUCCCAGGCAAUCCUGCUUGUCUGGGACUUGGCAAGAGACCUGGGGAAUAUGACCCAACCCUUUUGUGGGGUCUUUGCUUUUGACCUAUUGGCCUAGUAUGUCCUCUACCAUUUCUGCCCUUAUCACAUCCUAUCAGGCCUGUUCACCCUGAAACAUUCUGGCCAGGCCUCUGGCAAAUGAAAGCUCUAUACCAUCUGCAUUUUCACCCCAAAGGACUGGAGGCAGUGUGCUCAGAAGUUGCCAAAGCAGAGGCUCCAGCCUUCUAAGAGUUAAUGACUCCUUCUCCCCAGCUGUCCUCCCUUUGGUGCUCCUCUUCCUCCCUCCUGCUCACAGCAGGCUCGGCCUGGACCCAGGAGCCAUGCUGCUGUGCUGUUGCCAGGGGAGCCCAGAGGCAGAUCUGAGCUAUGCAGGGAAAAGGCCCAGCCUGUCAAAGUGUCUGAGAUGAACCGCCGCUGUCCCUGUGCAGCUGGGCUCAGACUUGUCUCGGCUCUUGUCUGUGCCUGAGAAUGGCGAAGCCCAGUGAGGUUCAAGGGCAAACUCGCUAUUCAUUAGUCAGGGGUUCUUGACGUCCUGUCUCUCCAGGGAUGGGUUCCCCCCUUCCUCUCUCUCUCCCUCCUCUGAUACAUUCCUAGGUGCCUUUGGAGAGGACUACACACCCUCCUCUUGCCCAACCCCCUCUCCAUAGGCCCCUGAAUAAACUCCCCUCAAGGAGACCAGGCAGGAUAGAGACAAUGGCUUCAGGAAAUCAUUCAGGCGAGACCCCAGCCACUCUGGCCUGCCUUCCACUUCCACAGGCCCUGUAGGCACACUCUGCUGUGACUCCGGCCACUCUGGGCCACCAGCCUGCAUAGGCCUGGAUGGGAAGAGACUACUGGGCACUGCCCUAAGGACAACAUUCAGUGCAAUGCCAUUCUCACUGGGCUCCAGGUAUACAUUUAUCUCCCUGGCUGGGUGCUAUAUUUCUGUAACAUUGUGUGUCUAUUUAAAGACACUCUUCAAUACUGUUUUUAGGAAGUGUAUUUUCUAAAAUGUAGCAGUAUCAAAAAAUAAAAGGCAGUGGUGCAGGCCUGUAAUUCCAGCAACUCAGGAAGCUGAGUCAGGAAGAUUGCAAGUUCAAGGCCAGCAUCAGCAACUUCAGAAGACCCCAUCUCAAAAAAUUAAAAAGGGGGCUUUCAUGCACAAGGCCCUGGGUUCAAUCCCCAGCACCAAAAAAAAAAAAUAAUAAUAAUAAUAAUUAAAAGGGCUGGGGGUGUAUCUCAGCACUCCUGGAUCUAAUCUUCAGUACUGGGGAAAAAAAUAUAAAAGGCACAUAUACUUGAACACAAAUAUAUUGCACUAUUAGGAAUUUACCUUAUGGGUAUAUUUGUAAAACUUCCCAAAGAGGUAUGUACAAGGGUGUUCAUGGGAUCAUUUCUUCUUUACAGUGUAAAGAAAUAGAAAUAACCAAUGGGUCCUUUCAUACAGUGGAGUACUAUGCAGUUGUAAAAGUCCAUGUGGUAAGAUCUCUAUCGACAGGCCCAUAUGGAAUGUUGGCUAGUAUAUAUUAUAGGGUAAAUAGAAUAAACUGCAGAAUAGGCAAUAGAGUAUGAUCUUAUUUGUGUACAUUUAAAAAUCAGAGGCCAGCCGGGUGUGGUGGUGCACACCUGUAAUUCUAGCAGCUCAGGAGGCUGAGGCAGGGGGAUCGAGAAUUCAAAGCCAGCCUCAGCAACUUAGUGAGGCCCUAAGCAACUCAGUAAGACUCUGUCUCUAAACAAAAUACAAAAAUAGGUUGGGGAUGUGGCUCAGUGGAUAAGUGACCCUGGGUCCAACCCAGUACCAAAAAAAAAAAAAAAAAACCAGGCCAAGCGCAGUGGUGCUUGCCUAUAAAUUCUAGAAACUCCAGAGGUUGAGGCAGGAGGAUUAAUAGUUGGAGGCCAGCCUUAGCAAUUUAGUCAGGCUCUAAGCAACUUAUUGAGACCCUGUCUAAAAAUAAAAAGAUCUGGGGAUGAAGCUCUCAAUGAUAAAGCACCCUUGGGUUUAAUCCCAAUAAUAAUAAUAAUAAAUAAACCCUACAAAAAACAAAAACAAAUCAUAAAUAUGCUUAUAUAUGAGUGGUUUCUGAUAAUAUGUAUUAGAUAACCACCUCUGGGAAGUGGGGAUACAGGGAUGCAUUCUUCUGUACAAUAAUAUUUUCUUUUCAUGUUUGUAAAAUACUUUUCUUGAAAAAUAUAGGGACUAUUUAAUAGGCUUAACUUCUAUCAACAAACUUGGAAUAGGAACUUAAGAUGAUAGUGGUGAUGUUGCAGGAAAAAAUAUUCCAGAAUCACUGGCAACAUUAGCUACUAUACUUUUCUGAGCCUAAUGAUCACAUCAGCAUGGCUCUAUUAAUCAUAAAAUCUAGUAAGUGCCAGGGUGUUUCUCUUGGUCUUGUUUAGGUGUGGGUAUCAUGUUUUCAAUUCACCCCGUGGGAAAGGUUGGUUGAUUUGCCCAAAAUCCUGGGCAGGUAGGGGUAGGAGUCAGGAAUCUGAUGGGGGCUCAGGAAGGGUGGUGUAGGCUCUCAGCCAUUGCCCCUCCAUCCUCAGGAGACUGACCCCUGGGGUGCCACCCCAGGGUGGCACCACAUGGACCUCAGUGAGUGGAAGAUGUCUCCAUCCUACUGCAGCCCAAAGGAGGACAGACCAACUGGGGCUGGCAGCAAAUGGAUGGGAUUCUGAAAGGUACCAUUUGCAAAAAGAGCAUGUGUCCUGAGAGAAAAAGCACCCUUUGUAUUGCCCACCCCAGCAUCAAUCACCCCUGCUUCACUUCCCCUCCCCCAGCCAAAGAGUAAAUUGCCGGGAAAGUGUUGCCUGUGACAGGGCACAGGAGUUCCCAAAGCCAGAAACGUUGGUGUCCUGCCACAGGUCGGGACACAGCAGCUCACAUAGCACUCUUCACUGGGCCCUGGAUAGCCGGGAGGAGGUGCUGGGGAGGUGCAGUCCUAGAGGGGCUUGGGAAACCCAUGGGAGUCUAGGUAGUCCCAGAUCAGCUGCCAGCAAGCAGAGUGAGGAGAAAGGAAAUAUUAAGAGCAACUGCUGUGGGCUAGGUUGUCAGGUGCCAGGUCACUGUGCUUUGGCCCAAUGAGUUCUCUUUAAUUUUAUGGGCUGUGGGUGCCAUUAGUACAUUCAUUUUACAGAUGAAGACACUGAGGAUCAGAAAAGUUAUGGUCCUUAGUCACACAGCUAAAAAUUGCCAGAAAUGAGAUUCAAAAUCAAGACUAAAUGACUCUAAACUAUACUCCUAACCCCAAAGAAAUCCUGUCACUUAAAAAAGGUCCCCAAAGCUGUACUUUCUCCUGGCCAGUAUCCACUUGAAAAGACAUCAACCUUUGCCUGCAAGGCCACCUCAAAUACUCCCUUGCCUGGGGUCUUCCUCAAUUCCACCUAAUGCCAUCUCUCUUCUUGGGGUGUGCUAAGCCUUGGAGACUGGGCACUGGGGCGGAUUCCAGACCCUCAUUCAGAUUGGGGCUGUUGGUUAAUAUUGCUCUUAAGUGCUGCUGCUGCCCAGUCUCCUGGCUCCUGGUCUUCUAUACUCCCGUAGACUUUGCUUCUUCCUUGAGGUCCUUGACCUAAAGGAGCCUCUUAGGAAGGUGAGGAGGCUCCCAGGAUGGCCCCACUGCUUCUCAGAGGCUAGUCCAAUGAUAAGAGGGAGUGGGGGGGUGGGUCUUGAGAAGCUGAUACUGGAAAGCAGAGAUGGUCCCCAUGUGCUUGAGUUUCUAGGACUCUUACAAGACCAUUGGGUCCAUCUGAAUUGUCCUGAGAGAGCACUAGGGCAAAUUAUGGGAAAGAAGCCUCUUCCUGUCCUGUGAACCCUCUGGCUUUCUUGCACCAGUCCAUGGAGAAUAAAGUUUCUUUGCAAAGCCUCCCAUGU
rnacentral:lncRNA from 1 species